UGUAACAGAAUAUACAAAUUGAGUCUCCUCCCAUUUGACUCUAACAUAUAUUUCCGAAAACGAACUGUUGGCAUCAGUCCUCCAUUGCCACUGCCCUGGGUCUGCAACACUCCCACCAUGAAAGUCUCAGAUAGUUUGUUCCUCAUGGCCCUUCUUUCAGCGGUUCGUGGCCAGCAACUCACCUCCUCAGAAUCGGUGGUCAAAAGGCAAGGAGAACCGGUUACACUGUCCUGUCACGUGACCGGAGUCUCCCUCACUUAUCUUCACUGGAUUCGCCAGAGGUCAGGACAUGGCCUGGAGUGGAUUGGACGGAUAGAUGAUGGAACCGGAACAAUUUUUGCAGCGUCUCUUCAAGGGCAGUUCACCAUCACCAAAGACAGCACCAGAGAGGAGGUUUACUUAAAUGUGAAGAGUCUGAAGCCAGAGGACUCAGCUCUUUAUUAUUGUGCUAAAGAGGCACAUUGACACAGAAGACUGCUCGGCUGUACAAAUACUGAGCCCUGAGGCAUGACCGGGGCUCCUGCAGAAAAGGUUGAUGAUAAGCAUUGAAGAUUAACAAGCAUUACAGGGAAAUGUAUUAAAGGUCCCAUGGCAUGCUA